UACAGAGGUCUCAAGCGUUGUUCGGAUUCAUUGGGCGUAAAGGGUGUGUAGGUGGCGCCGUAAGUCGGGUGUGAAAUUUCGGAGCUUAACUCCGAAACUGCAUUCGAUACUGCGGUGCUUGAGGACUGGAGAGGAGACUGGAAUUUACGGCGUAGCGGUGAAAUGCGUAGAUAUCGUAAGGAAGACCAGUGGCGAAGGCGGGUCUCUGGACAGUUCCUGACGCUGAGGCACGAAGGCCAGGGGAGCAAACGGG
rnacentral:rRNA from 1 species